UACGUAGGGUGCGAGCGUUAAUCGGAAUUACUGGGCGUAAAGCGUGCGCAGGCGGUUCGUCGUGUCUGAUGUGAAAGCCCCGGGCUCAACCUGGGAAUGGCAUUGGAAACUGGCGGACUAGAGUGUGGCAGAGGGGGGUGGAAUUCCGCGUGUAGCAGUGAAAUGCGUAGAGAUGUGGAGGAACACCGAUGGCGAAGGCAGCCCCCUGGGCUAACACUGACGCUCAGGCACGGAAGCGUGGGGAGCAAACAGG
rnacentral:rRNA from 1 species